CUCUAAUCCCCUAAUUUCCGUCGUUCUUUCCUGGAUUGGCUAUUCUCUCCUUCUGGCCUGGAUCAUUUCUCUCGUUUCCGGAGGCAUUGUGGAGGCCAUGGAGGAAACCAUUAUGGC